AAAAAUCGGAGGUAGAAAUUACCCUGGGCUGGGCUUUGCAGAGAGCAUUUGCAUAAGAAAAAAUAAUCAGCCGGUUAAUUCCCCUGUCCACUGGCAGGAAGAGAGACAGCCUUCAGAGAGUGUGGGACACUCUCGUCCCGCAGAAUUAAAAGCCUCCGAGGCAUCACGAGUUCUGGUCAAUCGUGCUAAAAGUGCGCUCAGAAGACCCCCGCGCAUCUGAACGGUAUGGAGCAUUCAUGCGAGCAGAAUCCCUGCCCCAGUCUGGGGCCUGGGAACCGAGAAGGGAGGGUCGGGGGGUGGGGGCGAGGGUGGGGGCAGGGAGGGCAAAGUUGUCCCUGCCAAGCUGGCGGCGGGAAGAGCUGCAGGAACCAGACGGGGAGCAGAGGAAACAAGCAUUCUGACGAUUCUGACCGAAAGUACAUUUGUUGUAUAGUGGAUGGGUUGAUCCCCACUCCACGUAUCAGAUGCCACGGGCUAGGAGAGGUAUUUGUCUAUAGCCUUGAGGACCCAGGCCUGCCCCACGCUCAUGCCUCUCAUUCCUUUCUGGAGCCUUCCAUUCCGAAUAGAAAUAAUACCUGCUUGGACUUGGCUGGACACCUCAGUCUUUGCUGAUGGUUCCAUAGUUUCCCCUCUCCCAUGGGCCUGGCUGCUUCCUCUGCCAUGUGGUUCCAGGCCCCCAGCCAGCAGGGAAGCAGACCAGGGUGAGAGCAGAAGGGAGCCUCGGGGUGUUAAUUGGUGCUAACGAAUUCCUGCAGCCCCAUCUUUCCUCCACCUCUGUGGGGAGGCAGCUGACAAUGCCAUCUUUGCAUUUUGCACACUGAAGUCAAGCAGUCCCCUUCCUGGCGCCUGAGUGCCCUGCCUGGAUAAGGAGAAGGGGUGGGGAGAAGGAGGAUGUUCACAAUAAAAACCAUCAGCACUUUCUCUGUGCCAGGAUCCUUUCUAAGCACUUUCUGUGUAUUUUGCUCCUUUAACCCUCAUCACAUGGUUGUGUCCUAUUAGAAACCCUGUUUGACAGUGGAGAUGCAGCCGAUGUGUUUUGAGUUUUUACUCUGCGCCAGUUCCUGUACCAGGCUAUGGACAGAUCUUCCCCCGUGAGGUGUCUGCCAUCAUUAUCCCCGUUUGAAAGGAGAGGAAACAGCCCCAGAGAGGUUAAGUAAUUCAACCAAGUCUACACAGCUAGAGAGAGGAGAGGCAGGAUUUGGACUCAGGCUGGCUGGUUCUAAAGCCUUAUCUUCUGGAUCACCACCCAAGAUAUCCUCUCUGAAGGAACUCCUACUUAAAAUCGGGUCUCUGAGCCUGUAGGUACCAAAUGAGAGGUGCCUGCAGGAAUGCUGGUUCCUCCCCUCCCCUCUAGCCUUGGGUCACUCCUACUGGGAGUCAGGAUCUCCAGCGGACUCUUCAUUGUCCCAGGUUCUUUGCUUCCUUGGGCUAUUGCCUGCCCCUUCCCCUGACUCUGCCCCAUUCCUGCUCCACAGGCCUCCUCUGUGGCUAAGCAGCAAAUAAAGCUCCAUGCUCCUGACUCCCCUUCCCUGGUCUGGAAUUUGGAGACAAAAAGUCAUCCUGGGUGGGGAGGGAGCCUGUUCAGCCAGGCACCCUUGGGGCAAACUCAGCAUGACACAGGGUUCUGGAGGCCCAGGGAUGGCCUCCCUUGGCAUUGAUUUGGUAGCUCCCAAAGCUACCAAACACAGCAUCACGUGCAACACAUACACAUACUCACCUUGUCGCAGUUUGCCUUACAGCAGCUCAAGAACCUGAGCUUGCCUGCGAGGAGGCAGCAUGUCCAACAAAUGACUCAGACUGGCGGAUCCCCACUUUCCUUCUUGGGUCUGAGGUUCUCUGCUCUCUGGAUUCUGUGCUUCCGUUUUCUCGGCUGUGAAGUGGGUAGCAUAAUGGGACCCAUAUUACAGUGUUACUGUAAGAAUUCAAUGACACAGUGCAUACCACGUGCUUAGAAAUAGUCCUGUCUCACAGCAAGUUGUUAGGGAGCCAAAGAUCACCUCCAAUCCCCCUUCGGCCCUUUGGCUGGAUCUAGAAACCUUGCCAACAACUGGCAGACUAAAGAGAGGAAAGUGCACAAAUUGUACUACCUGGGGGAUCUUCAUAAGAGAGCGAAGCCCGGCCGGGCA